CAUAAGCAAUUAUACUUUAUAUCGAUUGAUUACAUAAAACUACAUGUUCGUUUGCAGCAGAAAUAUUGACUAAUUGUCAACGGUGGCGGUCUGUUGCAGUCCUGAGUUCAGACUUCAGCCCGUGUUAAGGAGGACUUGGCUGGACGUGGAAUAGCAAGUGAACUUUAAAUGAGGUGGACUUUAAUACGCGGCAUAUCAAAUACUUCAUAUUCUAAAAACUGGAUGAUACUGUGCCAAAGACCUUAAAAGAUAAUGUUACUGUGAAAUGAAAAAAAUUAUAACUUCAAGAGAGAAAGAACUACUGUAUUUUAACGGACACAGCUUUACUAUUUAC